UACGAGGGGGAGCAAGCGUUGUUCGGAAUCACUGGGCGUAAAGGGUGCGUAGGUGGGCAGGUAAGUCAGUGGUGAAAUCUCCGGGCUUAACCCGGAAACUGCCGUUGAUACUAUCUGCCUUGAAUAUCGUGGAGAUGAGCGGAAUAUGUCAUGUAGCGGUGAAAUGCUUAGAUAUGACAUAGAACACCGAUUGCGAAGGCAGCUCGUUACACGGUUAUUGACACUGAGGCACGAAAGCGUGGGGAUCAAACAGG
rnacentral:rRNA from 1 species